rnacentral:rRNA from 1 species
AGAGUUUGAUCAUGGCUCAGGAUGAACGCUGGCGGUGUGGAUAAGGCAUGCAAGUCGAACGGACUUUAUUUUUCCGGAGAAUGAGAUUACAUCAAGUUCAAAGGUCGUUUAAAGUUAGUGGCGAACGAGGUAGUAACACGUGGGUACUUCCCCCUAAGUCGCGAAUAAUCCAUCGAAAGGUGGACUAAUACGCGAUGGUCUCGCAAGAGUAAAGUUUUAACGCUUUGGGAAAGGCCUGUGCGAUAUCAGCUAGUUGGUAGUGUAAUGGACUACCAAGGCUAUGACGUCUAGGGGAGGUGAGAGCCUGACCCCCACCGAUGGUACUGCGACACGGACCAUACACCUACGGGUGGCUGCAGUCGAGAAUCUUCCACAAUGGACGAAAGUCUGAUGGAGCGACGCCGCGUGAUUGAUGAAGCCCCUCUGGGGCGUAAAGAUCUUUUAUGAGGGAAGAAGUUUAUUGACGGUACCUCAUGAAUAAGAGGCUCCUAAUCUCGUGCCAGCAGGAGCGGUAAUACGAGAGCCUCGAGCGUUAUCCGGAAUUAUUGGGCGUAAAGGGUGCGUAGGUUGUUCUGUUAGUCUUUUGUCAAAUCCUUGGGCUUAACCCAAGGACCGCAAAAGAAACGGCAGAACUUGAAAGUGCGAGAGGUUUACGGAACUCAUGGUGUAGGGGUGAAAUCCGUUGAUAUCAUGGGGAACACCAAAAGCGAAAGCAGUAAACUGGCGCAUAUUUGACACUGAGGCACGAAAGCGUGGGUAGCGAAUGGGAUUAGAUACCCCAGUAGUCCACGCCCUAAACGAUGAUUUCUCGCUAUUCGGAGUAUCGACCCUCUGAGUGGCUUAGCUAACGCGUUAAGAAAUCCGCCUGGGAAGUACGGCCGCAAGGCUAAAACUCAAAGGAAUUGACGG